GUGCCAGCAGCCGCGGUAAUACGUAGGUGGCAAGCGUUAUCCGGAAUUAUUGGGCGUAAAGCGCGCGUAGGCGGUUUUUUAAGUCUGAUGUAAAAGCCCACGGCUCAACCGUGGAGGGUCAUUGGAAACUGGAAAACUUGAGUGCAGAAGAGGAAAGUGGAAUUCCAUGUGUAGCGGUGAAAUGCGCAGAGAUAUGGAGGAACACCAGUGGCGAAGGCGACUUUCUGGUCUGUAACUGACGCUGAUGUGCGAAAGCGUGGGGAUCAAACAGGAUUAGAUA
rnacentral:rRNA from 1 species